GUUUAAGCUCGUGGGGAUGGGCCACACCUGAAGCCUGCCUCUCAGGCCGAAGCUCCCAGAAGUGAAAACAGGCCUUUUUCACAGAAAGAGUAGGGCUGUGUUUGUGCAGUACCCUAAGAGUGCUGGCCUGCCAAGAUCGGUCUUUCUGAGGGUUACAGUCCCAUGGGACCCCGAAAUACAAGCCUCUCGGCCACCAGAGCCAGGACAGCAAGGGACAUCUCCUGGGACAUGACUGCGGCAGGCGGCAGUCAUAAAGACCAGGACACCAAACGUGUGUAAAAGCGGGGGACAGUGGCACUCUGGAGUGUGGCAGAGAGCGAGCCAGCGAGCAUGAGAACGUCACGCACCGGCUGGAGGGAGGCCGCGGAAGCGCUUAAAGAUGGCGCCCGCAGGCAAAGAAAAUAAAGAGAGAGACGGAGAGAAAAGGGAACAAACAGACAAAAACAACACGAAAAACAAAUCUUGAGUUUAAAAAAAAUUUAAAAUGUGCCUACUAGUUGGAGCAAGGCGCAGGGAGACCUCGAAGAUGGCACCCUCCAGCCUCUUUUCCCAGACAGCAUCCCAGCAGGCCCCCAGAAGUGUGUCACAUCAGUCUGUCCGUCAGGCCAACUCCCCUCUCCCACAUAAAGUGUGGGCACCCCUGGAUCGGCGGCUCCCACACCGGGUCCUGAGACUGGGUUCCAGGUGUGGGAGAGACAAGUCUUUCAGUUACCUCCAUUCCACUGACCCAUCACAAACUGGCUUCUGGGACCCCUUCAGUAAAAAUGAUGGAAGACCAAAAAACCUCGUAUGGCUAACUAUCCAAUUUGUUUGAGAGAUGGAGUAACAUGCCGAUUAUCUGUGGCAGUGGGGAAAUGAAACUGUCACAUCAAUUACAAAAGCUGCUAAGUUGCCAGCAGGAAAAGCAUUGAUUUCUUGGUGAGUUCAGAUCUGUAAUUUCAGAUACCUUUGUCAUCUUACUGAAUGGAAAACUUUGAAAAGAAAAUCACUUCUUCCAUUCAUAACAAUAAACGUUAUUGGAGUCUUUGAAAGUAACUGAUAAAAUGAAAAUUUAUUUUUGAAAUACCCUCAGUUGUUGUUAAUUUUUAUUUCUAAUUUAAUUUUCAUUUUUCCUUUCUUUGUGGGAUCAAUUUAUCAGCUCACUAGAUUCCUAUCGGGACUUGG
rnacentral:lncRNA from 1 species